rnacentral:snoRNA from 1 species
CUGCGGGGAUGAUCACUCUGAACUCUCUCUUGCUGAUGGGUCAGUGGAGAAUUUGUGGACAUGAUCUGAGUGGU